GUCUGUAGACGCUUAUCAAUCUCAAUACAUCAAACCAAUAUAACUUUCUGUACUGCAACAAGAAAAUUGAGAAUUUCAAGAAUUGAACAAACGUUUAAUGCUUUGAUAUAACAAUAAAUACACUCUCAACAAACAUUUCUGAAAGGCAGUAUAACAACAAAAACUACCUACUACUAUGUAAUUCUCCCAACGAGAUCACAAGUACAUUUGUCCGCAAUAUGGCAGUAUACCAGCAUUCAUAAUAAAAAUUAAAAUCAAACAACAUAAUGCUUAAUCUGUGUUUUGAUUCUCAUGUAUAAAAUAAGGCACUGAAAAUAAUAAAGUAUCUCCAAGAUAUAUUUCAGAGAUCCAUUUCAAUUUAAAUAAAUCAUAUUGUUCAGAAACAAUCAUAGCAUUUUAUAUACAAUACAUUUCGAUAUACACAGUUUUUUUUUGUCCUGCGUAGUGUACUUCACUCAUUCAUCAUUAAAAACAAUUAUAUUCAAGGCCAUCUUAAAAAAUAUUAAAAAUAAAUACUAUCGUCUAGAAAAAAAAAAUAAAAAAACCUAUAAAAUUGCAGCAAUAUAUUAUUCUAGUGUAUCUUUCCAAUAAUUAAUGACUAAAUUCUGGACUUCUACAUGACACUCUGGUUAGUUGAUAGAGCGACAACAUCGUGCUAUAUCGUACUAUAUCUUAUGACUGCCUGCUUUUUUCACUGAAGUGUGAAUUGUCAGGAAUUCAAAUUACAUUUACAUUUUAAUAAAAAAAAGCUCAACUGAAAAAAAUCUCUACUCAGUUCAGCUAUUUUGCCCCAAAAUUUGCCGUUCACUUGAAAUCACUUUGAAUUCCUUCUUUAAUGAAAAACUCUGUUUGUAAAUUCAUAAAUCACACACAAAUAUUAUUGACAUCUACUCUUUUUUUAGUGCUCUAUGUUAUACUAAACGUAGACCGUUUCAUGGUCUUGGAAGGCACCACGUCACCUGACAAAAUAAGUAGCCCAGAGCUCUACUACUCAUUGUAGUGAAUAGAAUUGCAAGUGUUGGUGCAAAUACUGCCUCUAUGAGAUGGAUUUAAUUCACAGUAAUGUAAAAUCUCUAUGAACCCUAAUUGUUCCAAAUUUGCAAAAAUACCCGUUUGAUCACAGUAGAGUGUGAAAGGCCAUAAUUCAAGGUCUGGUGCCUUACUGAACCAGCGCCUGUUCGCUGUAGCGUUCUGGACAUAUAAAACCGCCACAUUUACAAAUAAAUACUAAUCUAUUGUUUCCAGUUAUAAGGAAAUGUGCAUUUUUUGAUUUUCAAAGCUAUCGAAGGCUUAAUGUUAUUAAAGUGAUUUUGCAGUUUAGUCUGCAAUGUUAAUAAAAUAAAUACUAUGUUGCAUUCUAUGUAAGCGUAGCAGGGGAUAAAACGUUACAAGAGUAUAUUAAGAAAGGAUUGUGCACAUCUGUAAGAAAUGUAAAGCGGAGACACUGAUGUCUAAGUAGGCUUACCGAUAAACAAGGGAUUAUUAUACAGGACAGUUUAAAUCACAUGCAAACAUUUCUAUAAGCCCUUAUUUCUUGUGAAAUUAUAUGGGAAACUAAAUCUGAAAUUAAAAGACCAUUAUUUAAAAUGUCGUUUUAAAAAAGAUAAUACUAUAUUAUAAAACAUACUGGCAGUAUUUAUAGUUUAAAAAUAAUUGAUAACUUCAUAUAGGUCCUAUAGAAACAUUGGUGUAACUGGUAAAAAGUGAGUGAAAUAAAAAUGACAAACAAAACAAAUCAAAAUUAAAUAAUAAAAAAAAA
rnacentral:lncRNA from 1 species